rnacentral:ncRNA from 1 species
AUAAAUAGCUUUUCUAUAAGGUCCGGUAUUCCUGAAAGGGAGUGCUUGAAAAACCUACGAAUUGCUGGGAACCCCUAAAGCUCAACGACCCAUGAGGUGCCGAAAGGCAGAAACAACAGUUGAGAUGCACUACCUCCGUAAGAGGCUUAGGCUGAAAGAAAAGCCGCGUAAGCGGUGCUAAGGUGCGAGACAAUGGGCAAUCAGCAGCCUGGUUAUUGCGUAGCAAUACGGCAUUCUUGGUUGUAAGAAUGUGAAACAACGCAGGUUCAACGACUAAGGGAUUUACCACCCUGUAGAGGACAAGCGUCUUCGAAGUGUAGGUUACCGUAACAGGUGCUGCUGAAGAAUACUUCAGCGCCGCAUUCUCGAUAUGAUCGAGAAAGUGAAGCUGACGGUUUGAUAUAGUCUCCUCUUGCAUGAAAGUGCAAG